AUUGAACGCUGGCGGCAGGCCUAACACAUGCAAGUCGAACGAGUGGCGGACGGGUGAGUAAUGUCUGGGAAACUGCCUGAUGGAGGGGGAUAACUACUGGAAACGGUAGCUAAUACCGCAUCCCAUCAGAUGUGCCCAGAUUGGAUUAGCUAGUUGGUGGGGUAAAGGCUCAACAAGGGGACGAUCCCUAGCUGGCCUGAGAGGACGAACGGCCAACAUGGAAAUGAGACACGGUCCAGACUCCUACGGGAGGCAGCAGUUGGGAAUAUUGCGCAAUGGGCGAAAGCCUGAUGGAGCAAAGCAGGGUGGAUGAAGAAGGCCUUCGGGUCGUAAAAUAAUUUUAGUGGGGAAGCGUUACCCGCAGAGAGAGCCACGGGUAACUCCGUGCCAGCAGCCGCGGUAAUUC
rnacentral:rRNA from 1 species